AUGCCGCACGGGCCGUCCUCCCCAACAAUAUCCUGGUGCUGAGUGAUGACACAGGCAACUCCAGCAUCAGUGAUUUUGUUGAAGAGGGCAGCUUCCA
ensembl:miRNA